GAGUUUGAUCAUGGCUCAGGACGAACGCUGGCGGCGUGCUUAACACAUGCAAGUCGAACGAUGAAGCCCAGCUUGCUGGGUGGAAGAGUGGCGAACGGGUGAGUAACACGUGAGUAACCUGCCCUUCACUCUGGGAUAAGCGCUGGAAACGGCGUCUAAUACUGGAUAUGACUCAUACAGGCAUCUGUUGUGAGUGGAAAGAUUUAUCGGUGAGGGAUGGGCUCGCGGCCUAUCAGCUAGAUGGUGAGGUAACGGCUCACCAUGGCGACGACGGGUAGCCGGCCUGAGAGGGUGACCGGCCACACUGGGACUGAGACACGGCCCAGACUCCUACGGGAGGCAGCAGUGGGGAAUAUUGCACAAUGGGCGAAAGCCUGAUGCAGCAACGCCGCGCGAGGGAUGACGGCCUUCGGGUUGUAAACCUCUUUUAGUAGGGAAGAAGCGAAAGUGACGGUACCUGCAGAAAAAGCACCGGCUAACUACGUGCCAGCAGCCGCGGUAAU
rnacentral:rRNA from 1 species